rnacentral:rRNA from 1 species
GGGUCUUGGGAUAUUUGGGGUUAAGCGUCCUUUGAUUUGAAUAGUACUGGGCUGGGUGACCUCCCGGGAAGUCCAAACUCAAGACCUU